rnacentral:rRNA from 1 species
AUAGAUUUUAUUUAUUAAUUUUAUUUAUUUAUUUAAUUUAUUUAAUAAAAAUAAUUUUAAAAUUUUAAGUUUAAGUAUUUUAUAAAGAAAAAAUAAUUUUAAUUAUAGUUUAUUUGUAUUGUGAAAGAAAAUUGAAAUAAUUUGAAAAAUUUUUAUUUUAAAAGAAAAUUUAAUUUAUUGUACCUUGUGUAUCAGGGUUUAUUAAAUAAAAAAUUAUUAUAUUAAUUUUUCUCGAAUUUUAAAGAUUUAAUUAUAUAUAAAAGUUACUGUGGAAUAAUUAUUUUUAAUAUAUAAUUAGAAAUGAAAUGUUAAUCGUUUUAAAAUAUAUCUAGUUUUUUAAGAAAUAAAUUUAAUUUAGAUUUAUAAAUUUAAAUUAUUUAAUUAUUUUAAAUAAUUUAUUUUAUAAAAUUAAUAUUUUAAGGGAUUAGCUUUAAAAUAAAUUUUUAAAUUUUAAAUUAAUUAUUUAAUAAAUAUAAGCUUAAAAAUAGCUAUUAUUAAUAAAUUUGUUAUAAUUUAUUUUAAAAAUUUAAUUAUUUAAUAUAAAAUUAAAUUAUUUAUUAAAAUAUAAAUUUUAAUAAUAAAAAUUUAUAAAUUAUGAUAAAAUUAGUAUAUAAAAUUUUUAUAAAUAAUUAUUUAUGAAAGGUUUAAAUAAGGAAUUCGGCAAAAUAUAUAUUCACCUGUUUAUCAAAAACAUGUCUUUUUGAAUUAAAUUUAAAGUCUAACCUGCCCACUGAUAUAAAUUAAAGGGCCGCGGUAUCUUGACUGUGCGAAGGUAGCAUAAUCACUAGUCUUUUAAUUGGAGGCUUGUAUGAAUGGUUGAAUGAGAUAUAUACUGUCUUUUUUAAAAUUAUAUAGAAUUUUAUUUUUUAGUUAAAAAGCUAAAAUAAAAUUAAAGGACGAGAAGACCCUAUAGAUCUUUAUUUUUGUUAUUUAUAAAUUAAAAAGAAUUUUAAAAUUUAUAAUUUAAUAAAAAAUUUUAUUGGGGUGAUAUUAAAAUUUAAAAAACUUUUAAGAUUUAUUAACAUUAAUAUAUGAAUAAAUGAUCCAGUUUUAUUGAUUAAAAAUUUAAGUUACCUUAGGGAUAACAGCGUAAUUUUUUUUUAGAGUUCAUAUCGACAAAAAAGAUUGCGACCUCGAUGUUGGAUUAAGAGUUAUUUUUAGGUGUAGAAGUUUAAAGUUUAGGUCUGUUCGACCUUUGAAUUCUUACAUGAUCUGAGUUCAAACCGGCGUAAGCCAGGUUGGUUUCUAUCCUUAAUUAAUUAUUAUAUUAUAGUACGAAAGGACCUAAUAUAAAAAAUAUAGAUUUUAAUAAUAUGAUUAAUAUUAAUAUUAGAUA